GCAGUGGUUGAUCAGUGGAUAAGACAUUGGACUACCAAUCGGAAGGUUUUGAGUUCAAAUCCCAGUGCUGCC